AAGUCGAGCGGCAGGGUUCAGCAAUGGAUCUGAGAGCGGCGGACUGGUGAGUAACGCGUGGGUGACCUACCNUGAGGAUGGGGAUAGCCAUUAGAAAUAGUGGGUAAUACCGAAUAUGGUUGCGGGACUGUGGUUCUGCAAAGAAAGGGGCUCCGGCUCCGCCUUGGGAUGGGCCCGCGUCCCAUUAGGUAGUUGGUGCGGUAAAGGCGUACCAAGCCUGAGAUGGGUAGCCGGCCUGAGAGGGUGAACGGCCACACUGGGACUGAGAUACGGCCCAGACUCCUACGGGAGGCAGCAGCUAAGAAUAUUCCGCAAUGGACGAAAGUCUGACGGAGCGACGCCGCGUGGAUGAGGAAGGCCGAAAGGUUGUAAAAUCCUUUUAUUGCUGAAGAAUAAGCGGGGGAGGGAAUGCCCUUGUGAUGACGUUAGGCAAUGAAUAAGCCCCGGCUAAUUACGUGCCAGCAGCCGCGGUAACACGUAAGGGGCGAGCGUUGUUCGGAAUUAUUGGGCGUAAAGGGCGCGUAGGCGGUUAUGUAAGCCUGGCGUGAAAUUCUCAAGCUUAACUUGGGGACUGCGUUGGGAACUGUGUAACUAGAGUCAUGGAGGGGGAGUUGGAAUUCCUAGUGUAGGGGUGAAAUCUGUAGAUAUUAGGAAGAACACCGGUGGCGAAGGCGAACUUCUAGCCAAUGACUGACGCUGAGGCGCGAAAGUGCGGGGAGCAA
rnacentral:rRNA from 1 species